UACCUGUAGCAGCCACUCGACUUUCUAACUCGGUUGAGGAUGCCGGGCGUAUUUUCAGCACCAACCCCAAAAUGUCGCGAAGCGGUGCUUGUUUCGUGUGCAGGUGGCUUACGUGCAAUUGGUAUAUACAGCUACGCAAUGUGUUGUGAGACGCUGUCUCCGUUUGGAGGGAUGUGUGACCGUUACGAUGUACCAGACUACACUGAGGACAGUAAAGUUCAAGAGUGCUGCCGUGAGAACCUGGGCCAAGUCCCGAGUCACACACACCGUUCUGAAGAGGACUUUUUGUGUUGCUCUCGUGCAGGGCGGAGCGCUGCCUGGCAACAGCCGCUACUGUCCCGGCAAACACAAGGUCAUGCAGCAACCUGUUCGGCGCUCACAGCCACCAGAUAUAAGAGUUCAAGAGAGUGCUCUUCAUCUUGCUCGAAUCCAGUCUCUGUUUAUAUCUGGUAGUGCAAAAAUUACUCUCCAGAAUGAUAAAACUGAUGAAGUCCUAUAAGGUAUGUAGAGCAUAUCAUGUAUUAUCCUCUGUCAAAAUUUCUAAUGAUGCUAGUAUUAAAUGUGUCAAACCCACAGAAUAGUCACCAGAUUCUCCCUAUUUAAAUCCAUCUGAUGACUAUUUUUGAAUGAACCUGAACACUGAGUGUACAGAAAUCAGAGAGAACCAUUGCGGUAACUGGAAUUAAAAAGAAUGUGUUAAAGUGGUGGCCUCGGAUAUCACGAGAUGACAGCUGAUCAGCCACCGACCAAAGAAAAAGACCUGAAUUCAUGCCUUAGUCUAAGAAAAAGGGGGGUCCUAUUCAAAAUCCUUUCUGAUAAAAAAUAAUAUUUAUACAUAAAAUGACUAUCUUUAACAUUCAAAAUGGAAUAUCUUCUUCUAUGUAUACAAUGAACCAAACUGAAAAAACCUCAGGUAUCUUCUUCAAAACUUGUAUGUGUUUCAUUUAAAUCCAUGGAACCCUCCAUUUCCACCAUUAAUUUAAAGGUAGUCUCUUGGGUGACACUGAAAGUAGUGUCAUAAAGAAAUAAAAGACUCGACAUGAAAACAUUAUUAUUUGCAGAAGAUGUAUUGAUUUUGCGAAAGAUGAAACUGAAAUUUAAGAGAAACUAAGUCAAUGGAAUUUUACUAUAAAAAAUCAAGAAGAAAACAGAACAAGAUUUAGACACAAUAACUGAAAAGGUGAACACAUUUAUUUGGGAAGCAAGAUACAAUCAGAAGAGAAAAUUGAUGGAGCAUACAAAACAGUUAAAUUAAGUUACAGGAAGGCAGAGACCCAAAAACGGCGCAAAACCACACUCUGUGCAAUCUAGUUUUAACUGAUUUUAACUUAAAAUAAGGAAAUUUAACCUUAAAGAAGAAACAAAGGCAAAACUCUAGCAACAGAUAGAAAGAACAAGAAAGCAACAAGAAAGAGUAGCUGGAAGUCAAUAUGAUAAAAAAAUCUGGAAGGGAUAAGAAUGUAGUGUUGUAGUGGUUCCGUCAUGAAAGGGCAUGGGAUAGAAUGAAAAUGCCGAGAUUUCAGAUUGAAGGAAUGAGGCCUGUGGGAUGACUCGGAUAAAGAUGGUUCAGCCAGGUAAUAGAAAGACAUCAAGAAGAGAGGAAAUAACUGGCAACAAAUGACUUACAUUAGUCUGAUACUAACAGAAGAGAAAAUUUAAUCUAGAGCUCCCAUAUCAAAGAGCAGGAAGAUGUAUCUAUUUAGCAGAUCAAGUGCUGAUAGUAGUGAUAUCCCAUUUCAUCAUGAGAAAUGCAUUACAGACUAAGAGGAAACUGUCACUUAUAUCUUCAGGGUAGAAGAUGGAGAAAGCAGGAUCUUCUGAAAUCUUGCCAAACUAAAUGGCGUCACAUUCCUGGUGACAAUAAUUUUUAUAGUUACUUCCAUUAUAACUUCCAAUCUCACAUUCCAUUGUCACUACAAUAAAAAAUACCCACUUUGCAGUGCCAGUUCAAAGAUGAAUGAAGCCCCAAAGAUAGAGAUCAAGGAUGUGAUAAUGAUAUCUAGUCAUCUAUCACAUGGGUCAGGAAGCAGUGCUAGACUGGUAUAUGACAGUGGUGGAAUAAUGAGUGACUGAGGAAGAUCGAGGUUUGUUUCCCAAUGAGGUCACUAGAUUCUUUAAUAGACCUAAUCCUUUCAACCACAAUAUGGCCCUGGGGUUAACUCAGCCACUAACUGAAAUGAGUACCAAGAACCUCACUGCCAUCUGUGACCUGACUGCCUAGUUGUCUCGCAACUCUUUGGGCCUCCACAGCCAGCUACAGGGAUUACUUUACCAUCUCACCUUUUUUACCUGAGGAACACUGAAGAAACUUGGAAAGAAACCUGCAACAAUGGCACUUUGUUCACAACAAAUCUCAUAUGAAAUUACCCGGAAUUGAUCCUGAGACUCCACAUUUAAAAGUCAGCACCAAACUAAGUUAUAACAGAGUCAUUAAGAUCUGAGAUAUUUCAUUCAGCCAUGAUGACUUUUACAGGAGUCUCAACUGAUCACUCAAAACCAUUUAAACACCCAAAAAAUUGUUAAAUUUCACCAGAAAGAAAAGGGCAAAAAAUUACAAAUCAAGAAAGAAACAUACUUUGAUAUAAUGUCAUGAUAUUCAACCUGCCUAUAUAACCAAACCUAUUCCUCAACCUUUAGACUUUAACCCUGAAGAUGGAGGCAUCCUGUUCCUCCAGAAUGUCAGCAAAAGACUUAAAUCUCUCACACUCUUCCAGUUCACCACAACUAAUUUUCUUCUCGCCUAGUUUGACAGUGACUACAAUCUGCACUGUGAACCACUGAAUAACUGAAGGGCAUCCAUUGGGUUACUGGAUGUGCUCAGUGUUGCAAGAUUUGAAAACAAAAUCCAUAAUUUGGAGUGAUGGCUUCAAACCAGCUUGCUUAUAGAAAAAUCAUGCUUCAAAACAUCUCUGUAUUAUGAUUUCAUCAUGUUUUCUCCUCCUCCUCCUUCUUUUUCCUCUUCCUGGAUUGGCUUUUUAAUCUGUUCCAUCUCCAAGGCUGUACACACAAUUCCUUUCUCCAUUUUUCCCAUUUCUUUCCAGCCAUUCAGUUUAUAUCGACGAAUUUCUUCUGAAAAUAAACUUAAACAUCUGUAAGGAGAAUGAGUAUGUAACUAACUUCAUGAAAUAUGUGUAAUCCUUUUGCGAAGCUAACUUUUAUGGAACCUAAAGGUCCAUUACAAUGUUAAACAGAGCCUGUUACUGGUCCCUAUCCUAAGCCAGGUGAAUCCAGUCACAACCCUCCCACAAUAUACCUUUAGAAUUCAUUUUAAUAUUAUUCUCCCACAUAUGUCUAUAUCUUUCAAAUCAUGUUUAACAACAAAAACUUCGUAUCCAUUAUUCAUCUUUCCCAUGGCAUAUGUCCGAUACAUCUUAUCAUCCUUAAUUUGAUCCUAAUGGAACAUGGCAAAGAUGUAAGAACAUCUGCAAACGAUCUAAUGACAAAUGGAAAAGUGUACAAAUUAUGAAUGGUACUUUUCAUUAUUAUAAAUUAUUUUCAAAGUUGUUUGGAGAAUAUUUAAAUUAGACAUUACAGACUGAGUGUAACAACGAGUAAAUUUUGCCAGUGAUUAUAUAUUGAAUUGCAUAAUGAAGGUAAUGAUUAGUAAAUGCAACAUAAAUUGUUAUGAUUUGUUGCAGGCUGUAAUGCCACGAGCAGAAAUGAAGUGUAGUGAGGAGUGGUAACUCCACCACCGUUGGCUUGACUUCUAGAAAUGGUGGCCAACGGUAGAGGAGUUCCUCUACCUCGCUACAUGCAACACCAUACUACAUGCUUCAAGAGAGAAACUGCUGCCUGUUGCACUAACCAUAUGUGCAAACAAAAUAAACCAGGAUGAUAAACCGAUCUGAGGACAAAUUUUUAUAAGACACAGGUUUAGUCUUCAAAAUACAUUCAGGAUGCAUUCCUACAAACAGGGGAAAGCCUAUUUAAUGUCCCAUGAUUUAACAUUUUCCCUCACAUUCAAUUUCAAUAACCCCAAGCCAGUUUUAAGACAUUCCUCAAUUUAGUGUUCAAAUAAACUACUCCAUAAAUUAAUCUUAAAUGGGAAAAUCCUUUAAUUCAUCACCAUUACUGCUUAAAACGACUACGCCAGAUAGGAAUAAUGCUAGAUGAACUCUGUUCCUUAAUAAGUCAUGAAAUGCAGUCAGAGAUCAAGCCUGUACAAGGCUUGUUAUAAUGCUAUUGAAUUAUGAAAGGAAUACUGUGGAACAGAUACUAAAGCAAUGCAAAACAACAAUCUACACAGUACAUUUCGAAUGCUUACUGCAGAGUGUGCAGCCUUUGCUAUGCAACGACUGUGAGAUAAGGUGAAUAAACAGCAACAGUUUCUAGGCAACAGCUGGCAAACACAUUUACAUGGCAACAAAUAUUCAAGUAACAAUAGAAGAAUGGUGUUUUCUAUGUGGUCUGUGCCAAGAUGUUAUAAUCAGGGCAGUUGGAGCAACACGUUCAGUUGACAGCUGAGUUGAGUUCUGCACGAGAAGUUGGGAAGAUUAGUGGUGGUGCUGUAAUUUGUUUGUAGUUCUGAGUUAUGUGUAUUAGUGGACAAUAAAUCCAUUUACCAAUCCAAAGUCUGUCUAUAGUCACACACACUCUACACAUGAUAAUAUUUCAUGUGUUAGCGAACAGACACAGGGUUUUGAUGGGUAACUGAAUUUGUUAAACACUUACAACUCAUAACUACAAGUAAUAUAACCAUUUCAUAGAUCUACUCUCUCUACAAAUCACUGUAUUGCAGCACACAUAAAGCUUUCUAUGCCUUCAUCAAUCGUUGCCUGGUAACGGCUCUAUUUCCAUACUCAUGUCCUCACUGGAUGGCAGAUGGCUUGCAACUAACUCAGAACUGAACUAAUUAAGUUGCUCACUUGUCCUUACUAUAUAGCCUCAGGUCAGACUGCAGAGGAAAAACAGCUUCCAACAGCUCUUUCACUGUUGCUGACAUCUUGAUGAGCCAUUGCCUAGUGACAGCUCGCUUGUUUAUCGAGCCUUUAAGUAGUCAUGUCACAAUAAAAUACUGAAACAAGGCGAAACAAAGGCAAAAUCACAGCAAUGAAUAUAACAUUCUUUAAAAGUACUCAAGGAGAAAGGGGAUCUUGUGUUAGAAACAAAGGUUUUUUAUAUAGAAAAUUAGAAUUCAAAAUUUGUUAAAGGACUUAAAAGAAAAAUGAGUAGAAUGGCUAGGCCAUGUAAAAGAAUGGGCAUAACAAAGAUACCAAGAAGGGCAUUAGAAUUAAAAUUUAUGGAAAAGAAAUUGCUGCCCCGACUAUGAGAACGAAAUGUAGUAGAGGUUAGGUGAAAGUGCUUUAAGCAAUAAAUGAAUGGAGAGACCACCAGGUGGUGUUACUGUGAAUGCCUCUGUUGCUCUUUAUCUUGUAUCACUUCAACUGCAGCUGCAAAUGACUCAGUGCAAUAUGUAUCAGUUCCCCUUGUGUUUCUGUUCUAAUAAGCCAUUAACAAAUCUGUCUUAUAAUCUCAGUUAGAGCACUGAUGUGCAACGGCGAUGUUUACACUUAAAUAAUGGGGUCUUCUGUCAGAUACUUAUAAAAAAAAGAAAAUGUCUCGCCAUAACCAUUCUGGUAUUCAAGGUCAAGCUUCAUCAGUAAUUUUCAAAUUGGUGAAGAAAGGGAAUUUAACUGAGUCUUUCUUCUGCAAGAAAUACAUUACAUAAUACUGUGCUGAGGAAAAGCUCGAUGAAACUGAUGCCAGAGUAGAACAUUCACCUCAUAAAUUACUAACUCAAGAGGCAAAGGCUUUUACUGCAAAACAUAGAAACUAAAAAGUUAAAUCUACUGCCACCUAAAAUUAAACAAGCAAAACAACUGAAUAAAUUGACUGUGAGAGUACAACA